CCCUAAUUUCUAUUUUUAAAUGCUAUCUUCAUUUAAAAUUUUGAUGUUUUGUUCAUCAUUGUAGUAAGCCAAAUUUCUAAUGCAACCUCCCAAAGAUGUCGUUGCUUACUCCCAGGAACCUGUGAAUAUUCUGAUAUGUCAUUCUCAUGAUUAUGUUAUGUUAUAUGGCACAGUUGAUAAUAACAUGAGCUUUUAAAAGCAGAGUUUAUUGCAAAUAUAUUACAUUAAAAUAUCAUUUAUCCUGAAUACUCAAUUUUUGGCGCUCCUUACGUAUUUUACCAGAGUCGAGUUCCUCAUUUACCUCCUUCUAUUCCCCUUAAUACUUGGCAUUAUGUAACUACAAAGUGCAUGUUCUUAUUAUCACCCUUGUUAUUCACAGUGUCCUGUAAUUCUUGUCUAAUUGAUAGAGAAUCAUCUUUAUCUUCCCCAUUUUUUCAAAGUUUCUCUUCUCUGUCUGCUUCUUCCUACCAGUGGCCAUGGUCCAUGACUCCUUUACUACGUCAGAUCCACAUAGUCCCUGGACUAACCAGGUGAUUAUAUAUUGGAACAGUGUCAUAAGGCUAUCACCAGAUACCCUGCCAAGUAAUUGUCUCCUUAAAAGGCCCCUGACUUCCAAAUAAUUCAAAAGAAGUUUUCUGCUGUUUAUUUGAUAAUUUCUUUUCAUCAUUUGGUAUGGCACAUUGAAUUCAUAUUACUAAUACAAUUUGCUCCUAUAGAUUUCAACUUUUUCUAACUAUCUUUUAAAAUAUUUUUGUUAGAUGUAGGGGAUUUAGGAUAUGUGAGUUUGAGAAACGUGAGUUUGGAAAGAGGUAGGCAGGAACAAAAAAGAAAUGGCUAAUGAAUUUGCUUUCUGGUCUAGAAAGUUCCUGUCUGCAUUGUUAUAGUAAUACUUAUUCUGGAGUUCCUAUUUUAUUACAAAAAAGAGAGAAGGGAAGUAGCUGUAAGAAUCAUCCAUAACCCCCUGUAUUAAUGACUAUUUUCACUAGAUUGAAUCAUAGAUAUUUUAUAUCUAUAGAAAGUGGUCAUUUUUACUGUGCAUGUUGAUUCAUAGUUGCAUAACUAAUCAUGACAACUUUAUUAAUUGCUUAUUAUCAAGGGUUUUCUCUUUUAUUAGAGAACAAGUGACUUCCUUCCCUUGCACUGGUGUGCAUAUAUAUCUCUGUGUGAUAGAGAUUAAUGCAUAAAGCUUUGCAGGAAACUGCCUCAUUGAUUUUGUUGCCUUUAUAUUUGUCUUCCUUAGAUGACUUCCACUAACAUAGAUAGAGGAUGUAUAGCCCAUUGCAGUGGGACACCCAGGGCCCCGCCUAUGGAAGUUGGAGUUCUGGCUUGAGUUCAGGCAGCUGAGUAAAAAGAGUUUAAAGGGAUAUUUUUGGAGACAUGAAUGCAUUAUAUUAUUGGUUCUUUUUAAGGUCUCCAAUACACUGCUUCUUUGAUGUGGGUACUUUUACAUAGUAGUAGUCCUUGCUUGUGUUUGCAUACUGAUUAGAAAGUGUACUACCAACACUGAUGUAAAGAUGUGCCCAUUAUACUAUUUAAUUUUCUAGUGAGUUGUAUAGAAGUUCUAUCUCUCAAAUUUAUGUGUUUGAAUAUUCUAUGCCAUGUUUUCUAAUUCUUCAAAUUCCAUGUUAACCAAUCCACAGCCUUAAUGUAUAAUUUAGAAAUGGUUUUAAACUCCCGUUGUUUUCCCCCAUUAUUAAGACUUGAAUUGAUUUAUAAGAUUUGUAUGCAGUAGUAAAUUCUACUCUUAAACAUAACUUAAUCUAGCAGCAUCAGAGCUAAUGAUGAAUAAAUGUAACCUACCUCAAUAAUGAUACUUCCGUUUAAAGAAACCAUGAAGAAGUCCUUUUUGAAGAAAAGUAUCAAAUCAGUACCUUAGAGUCUUCUGUGCUAUGAUAGUGCAUUGAAUACAAGAAAGCUGAUGGGGUAGUUUUAAAAAAUGUCCUGACAGAGUCAAGGUGAUGGCCAUUUUUAGCUGCCCUGCUAUCCAUCACCUCUUUCAGCCAAGCAUACUCCAUCAUAUGCAACAGCUUCAUGAAUUUAUGCAUCAAGCUGUGCAGCCAGUCGUGCCGAGGGCGCUGGUGACAAGUGAAAUUGCUGUGCGCCUCAUUUAGCUGUUUAUUGCGCCUGAGUACGUGUUGCAGCUGUCAUCCCACGAUGGGAUGAUAGUGCUCGUUAAUAGACAAGACAGGCAAAUAAUGAUGGAGGCCACAGCAAGAGAUGCUCAUCUGCCAAUGGGCUCUGAGCAAUAUCACAAACAUCCACAAAGUUCUCCAUCAAAAGCAGCCCUGUAAGAAAAUACAGAAGGCAGGGCUGUUCUUCAUGGGACUAACAAUGGAGAUUAAACUGUUGCAAAAAGUGUAGCCCAGUAGAUCUUAUAACUUAGGACUGGCAUUUGGGCUUCUACACUAUGCUUCCCUUUUGAAAGAAAUACAAGAAAAUGACUAGACACAAUCUCCAGGUUUGCUUCUGAUGUGUAAGUUGACCAUAUUCCUACCACACACCAUGGAAUUAACCUUAACGUAGUUGAACAGUUGGCUGUAUUCUGCUGGCAACCACAGUACCAGAAAUUUGCAAAAGUUAUUUUUCAACUGUUUGAAGACUUGUUUCAAACAUUUAGGAUUUUGGAUGGCUGUCUUUCAAUUCUUUUCAGUAUUUUAGUGAAAAGCGACUUGAAAUAGAAAUAUUCUAUCUUUAGAUUUGAAUGGAAUUUUCUUUUGUAUAAAAUUGAAUUAUAUUCAGGCAUUCAUAUCUUGGCACAUAGCAAAGAAGCUCUUAAUAAAAUCUCUUGCAGAUGAAAAUCUGUUAAACAACUGACUUUCAUUUCCUUUUUCUCUGAAUAUGUGAUGCUUAAUCUUACGGGUAUUUUACAGUUGAUGAUUAGUAAGUGCCUAUGGUAUAGGCUUAAAUGUGAAUCUUUAUGAUUUUACCAACAGAUUAUUCAUUUUGUAAGAAUAUAGAACUUAAAGAGUUAAUUAACAUGUUUGGUGUAAUGAGAUGAAGCAAAUUCUGACAAUCCUUUGCAGACUUUUGUAUAUAACAGAAAUAUCCAAGAGAAUUUGAGUUCUAUGCUUUUUAGCUGGAUACUUUGAGUGUCAAAUAUAGAAAAAAAAAAUCAAGGUCCAAACUGUGAACUUGGGAUGGAAAUAACUAUCGGUAUUUUACAGUUUAACAGAAGAGCUGGAAAAAAACCUUCAGUAUAAAAAAAUGAAAAUGAAAUAUAGGAAUAAUCUAUUAAACACAUAUACACUAUUAGGAACAUGGCCUUCUUGGAUUUAACAACAUAAUAACAUGUGGCUAUGGCCUUUUAAAUGAUGUCCACCUUGCUAUAAGAAAAGACUGACAAAAGUUGAACAAAGACAUUAUUACUCAUAAGCAUGUCAAGAAUCACAUAAAGUACUAACCAUGACAACUAGAGGGAACACCCUUAUCAGGAUCACGAAGCUAUCGUGAUGAAGAAACCUUAGUGACCUUCUAGUGUGGCCUCAUCAUUUUAGGAUGAAGAAACCAAGUCUCCUAGAGGCCAAGUGACCCAGUGAGGUCUGCAGUGAGUCACCCGUAGCAUCUGCAGGUCUCUGGGGCCUAAUGUCCUCCAUAGCUGCUGUACCUGUGACAUUUCCCACAGCCUUGCUGUGACUGACUUUGUGCGCUUAUUUUUAUUAUUUACUAACAAAAACCUUAUUUUUAUGUAUAUGUUGCUUCAAAAGAUCAUUUUGAUUUAUUUAUUUACAUAUGCAUAUUUACUUAUAUGCUUAUUAUUUUUAAAGAAGGAAAUACAAGACAUGCAACAAUAGGGGUAAAAUAAUGAAAAGAGGAGAAUCAGAACAAAUAUACUCAGGCUAAGGAUAAUUGCUAGAUUUGGAUAUAAAAUUUAUCACUUAUUUAAAAGGAUUGAUUCAUUCUUAAAUGUGAUUAUUGUCUUUGGGCCAAAAAUUACUUCAGUGAGAAUGAAUCUUCAGUUUUAUGAUAGAAAUAAAUUAGAAAAUAUAAAUUAACUUGCAGAAAAAAUAGUUUUAUGAUGGAGAUUUCAAGAAUACACAUUUUCUGUAAAGUGAGGCACAUGUGUUAAUUUUUUAAAGGUUCUUUCCUUAUUUAAAACAUUCAUACUGUGAAUCUUCUGUUAUUCAAAACGUGUAGUGAAAACCAUUUAAAACAAGUAUCCAGUGAGAAUCUGGAUCCAGAAGCGUCUGUUUGCCAUGUAAAUCUGAUAAACACUUAGUAUACAAGGCAAUGUAUAUUCUACAACAAUUAAUUUGGAUGCAUAGUAGACAUCAUUACAUAGGCAGUACAGAAUUAUAUUUGGAUUAUAUAUUAUAGUAAUGAUUUAGCUCAGAGUCUUCAUGUAAAAUCCCAUAGACUAACAUGUAGUAACUUUAUAUACUUUAUUUUCUUUUCCUGUUUUGUGCUUACUGUGGAAUAAUACAGUGGGAGCUAUGUUAUUCUGUUCCUUUGCUUUUUCAAAAAUAAUGACAACAAUCUUUUAUUUUUGGCAUUUGCAGAACUAAUGGUCAGCAAAUUUGAAUAUGUUGACUCCUUUUUCUUAAUGAAAUGGAAAACAGAUGUGUGUUACACACACACACACACACACACAAAGUUUUAUUAAUGUUUCAUAAAAUGGUUGCUACAAUCAAAGGAACUGCUCUGAAAAUUAAAUUACUGGGCUGACUCUGAAAAUCAGCAUAAUAUGCUCUGUUUAAUUCAGUCAUGCUAAGAUGUUAGAUUCCCCUUCAUUCUCUCAGCUUUCUCUCUCCUUCACCUGGGGGCAUCUGCUGAUGAGUCUCUUCUAGAGGUUGUUUAAUGACUAUUUUACAGGAACUGUCAGCUUUCUAAAGCCCAGUGGCAUUGGGCGUCACUGUAUUACCAGCCUUUUUACACAAUUUGCCUGACUGUAAAUCAGAGGUUUAAAAGUACAAGAAAAGCUCCUAUUUGAUUUAAUGACUGGUUGAUGGGGGUUGAUUAAUCUUUCUAUGCUCAGAUGUUUUACUCAUAAAGGUCAUCUAUUGUUUGUUUAUACUCACUUUUCUGAUUUUAGAAACACAAGAAAUAAGAAGACCAUUUUGAGAAGAACAGAGAGUAGCCUUAAGAAAAUCCCUGUCGCAUGCACUCUGGGAUUUGGACUCAAAUCCUAAUUAUACAGUCUAUAAUGAUGACUGGAAUAGGAAAUUCGGACAGCACAAGUGGUCGCUUCUUAGGCUUCCUGCCAGAAUUUGAAAACCACUAUAACAAGUCGUUUCUGCCAAGACUUAAUUAUGCCCUGCUAUUCAGAGUGGUCCACAGAACCAACAACAAUGGCAUCACCUAGGAGCUUUUUAGAAACAGAGACUUGAUUCUGAGACUUCAUUCCAGACCUACUGAGUCAAAAUCUGCGUUUUAACAAGACCUCCAGAGAACAUCUUAUCUUUCAGUGCCUUUCCAUAUAGCUUGGACUUCUAACAGGAUGCUAGCCUUGAGGUUCUAAGAGUGAAUGCUCCAAAAAACAGAACCACUCGGGUGCCCAGCUGCCGUCCAUUCUCCACACUUAUCCCACCUGAUGGAACGCUGUUGAGAAAAACAUCAUUGCAAUGCGUGAUAAACCAACAUGGGUCCCAGACCCAAUAAGAGUGAAACCAUCCCCCUAUUUAAAUGAAAUUAUGGCUGAUGAGAAAGACAAAUUAAUUUCUCUGCCCCCAAUAUUACACAAAACUUUGGAUGCUGCCAUUGUUACAAUUUUAUUUUCCCCAGGAGCUCAGAGUCCCACCUUCAUUCUUUUUGUGGAAGACUAGAAUGAGCAGAGGCCAUGUCUUCAAUGAUCUGUAAAUCUAGCAAGAAACAAGAUAAUAAAUAUAUUGUGUUUUCUAACCAAAUCUGUGAAUGAUUAGAUUGAUUGGUUAAUGAUUACAUGGAUUAACACAACAUUUCUAUUUUCUCUCUCCUCCCUUACUUCUUGUUUUAAUGAUACCUUCCAAGUUUUAUUUCUCCAAGCCUCACCCCUUACAUAAUACAAGAGGACAACAAUUUGCAAAAUAAAUUUCUAUUGGCCCUAACUGCUAAAUACUGAAAUAGAUUUCAAGUAAUAUGAGUGUUUUUGAAACCACCUAAAUCUGGAAGCCACCCUGCAAGGAACAAGGGUUGCAAAGUGAACAAGUCAGACAUGUAAAAAUAAAGAUGACAAAAUGGAAGGCAAUUAAUGCCUGUAAUGGAGGUGGGGAAGAGGGGAAUGACAAGUUAAUAAGAAAUUUAUUUUUAAAUACUUUCUGCCAUAAAAUAUCCAUGCUUAUUUUAGAAAAUACAUAAAAUAUUUAAGAAUUAAACAUCUUUAAAAAAUCACAUGAACUCAUCACCCUGCAACAAAACACAGAUGAGUGCACACACUUAAACACACAGUAAUUUUCAAUUAGCAUAUAAAGUUAAUAUCCUGCUAAGUACAAGAUACCAUAUCAUGAGCAUUUUGUCUCACCAAUAGUCUAUGAAAACAUAAUUGUAAUUAUUACAGAGUAUUCUGGAAAGUGAAUAUACAGUGAUUCAUCCAGUCAUUUCCCUAUUAACAUACAUUUCUGAUUCCAAUUUAUCACUGCCACACAGUAUCUUCUUAAAUAACCUCUUUUAUAAGUUUUGUUUUAAUGUUUUUAUUUUUUUCUAUUUAAUAUAAUGUUAAUACAAUCUUAUAUAAUAUAAUGUUACAAUGUUAGGAUUUUACUACAUAAGGUGUAUACAUUAUUUUAAUGCUCUUUCCACUGGAUGCCCAAAGCCCUCAGUAAGUUUAGUGAAUAAUGGUACAAUGCCCAAAUAUGUAAAAGUUUUUCUCUUCCUUAAUUUUUAGCAUUUUGCACUGUAUUUUAUUUUGAAUAAAUUAAAGAACUCAUUUAAAGUACCUUUCAUAGUGUCUCAUAUAAUGAGGUAUCAUACAUAAUGGUAUUAUUAUAAAUUUUGUUGCUAAUAAUGAUGUACAUAUACUUGCUCAAUUACUAGGAAAAUGAAUGCUUAAACUUUCUUUUAUUAUCAGUGGGUUGAGUUAUGUCUUAUAUUUAUUGACCAUUCAUAUUUCUUCUGUGAAUUUUCUUGUCUUUUAUUUAUUGUUUAUCAGUAUAUUUCUUUUUC